rnacentral:misc_RNA from 1 species
GAUGAAGAACGUAGCGAAAUGCGAUACGUAAUGUGAAUUGCAGAUUUCAGUGAAUCAUCGAAUCUUUGAACGCACAUUGCGCCCGCCAGUAUUCUGGCGGGCAUGCCUGUUCGAGCGUCAUUUCAACCAUCAAGCCUUUGCUUGCGUUGGGGCCCCGCGGCUGCCGCGGCCCCCUAAAUCCAGUGGCGGGCUCGUCGUCGUACCGAGCGCAGUAAACAUCCUCGCUCCGGGAACCCGACGGGUGCCGGCCGUGAAACCCCCCACAUCAAGGUUGACCUCGGAUCAGGUAGGAAUACCCGCUGAACUUAAGCAUAUCAAUAAGCGGAGGA